GGUGAACGCUGGCGGCGUGCCUAAUACAUGCAAGUCGAGCGAACAGACGAGGAGCUUGCUCCUCUGACGUUAGCGGCGGACGGGUGAGUAACACGUGGAUAACCUACCUAUAAGACUGGGAUAACUUCGGGAAACCGGAGCUAAUACCGGAUAAUAUAUUGAACCGCAUGGUUCAAUAGCGAAAGACGGUUUUGCUGUCACUUAUAGAUGGAUCCGCGCCGCAUUAGCUAGUUGGUAAGGUAACGGCUUACCAAGGCAACGAUGCGUAGCCGACCUGAGAGGGUGAUCGGCCACACUGGAACUGAGACACGGUCCAGACUCCUACGGGAGGCAGCAGUAGGGAAUCUUCCGCAAUGGGCGAAAGCUUGACGGAGCAACGCCGCGUGAGUGAUGAAGGUCUUCGGAUCGUAAAACUCUGUUAUUAGGGAAGAACAAAUGUGUAAGUAACUAUGCACGUCUUGACGGUACCUAAUCAGAAAGCCACGGCUAACUACGUG
rnacentral:rRNA from 1 species